rnacentral:rRNA from 1 species
AGUGAACGCUGGCGGUAGGCCUAACACAUGCAAGUCGAACGGCGGCACAGUAAGAGCUUGCUCUUACGGGUGGCGAGUGGCGGACGGGUGAGGAAUACAUCGGAAUCUACUUUUUCGUGGGGGAUAACGUAGGGAAACUUACGCUAAUACCGCAUACGACCUACGGGUGAAAGCAGGGGAUCUUCGGACCUUGCGCGAUUGAAUGAGCCGAUGUCGGAUUAGCUAGUUGGCGGGGUAAAGGCCCACCAAGGCGACGAUCCGUAGCUGGUCUGAGAGGAUGAUCAGCCACACUGGAACUGAGACACGGUCCAGACUCCUACGGGAGGCAGCAGUGGGAAAUAUUGGACAAUGGGCGCAAGCCUGAUCCAGCCAUACCGCGUGGGUGAAGAAGGCCUUCGGGUUGUAAAGCCCUUUUGUUGGGAAAGAAAAGCAGCAGGUUAAUACCCCGCUGUUCUGACGGUACCCAAAGAAUAAGCACCGGCUAACUUCGUG